rnacentral:rRNA from 1 species
UACAGAGGGUGCAAGCGUUGUUCGGAAUUAUUGGGCGUAAAGCGCGCGCAGGCGGUCCUUUAAGUCUGAUGUGAAAGCCCACGGCUCAACCGUGGAGGGUCAUUGGAAACUGGGGGACUUGAGUACAGAAGAGGAAAGCGGAAUUCCACGUGUAGCGGUGAAAUGCGUAGAGAUGUGGAGGAACACCAGUGGCGAAGGCGGCUUUCUGGUCUGUAACUGACGCUGAGGCGCGAAAGCUAGGGGAGCAAACGGG